ensembl:lncRNA
GGCGUAGAUUCAUUUUGCAUCGCUAUGGAUUCAUUUUAUACAGGCGUGGACUCAUUUUCUAUAGGUGUGGAUUCAUUUUGUAUAUGCGUUAAUUUGUUUUCUAAAGGCAUAGAUAGAUAUUCUAUAGGCAUUGAUUCAUUUUCUAUAGGUGUGGAUUUGUUUUCUAUAGGCAUUGUUUCAUUUUCUAUAGGCGUGAUUUGUUUUCUAUAGGCACUGAAUCAUUUUCUAUAGGCGUGGAGUCAUUUUCUAUAGGCAUUGAUUCAUUAUCUACAGGCGUGGAUUUGUUUUCUAAAGGCAUUGAUUCAUUUUCUACAGGCGUGGAUUCAUUUUGUAUAUGCAUUAGAUUGUUUUCUAAAGUCAUAUAUUAAUAUUCUAUAGGCACUGAUUCAUUUUCUAAAGGCGUGGAGUCAUUUUCUAGAGGCACUGAUUCAUUUUCUAUAGGCGUGGAGUCAUUUUAUAGAGGCACUGAUUCAUUUUCUGUAGGCGUGGAUUUCAUUUCUAUAGGCACUGAUUCAUUUUCUAUAGGCGUGGAUUCAUUUUCUAUAGGCGUGGAUUUGUUUUCUAAUGUAUUCAAUUUAAUAGGUUAUUGUUUCAUUAGUACCAGCACAUUCCCAGGAACUUGUAUGGCAGAUGAUCCACAUAAUCUAAAAAAAACUGAUUUAAAAAAAAAGUGUGGUUAAUUAAGGAAGAAAAACACAUAGUUGUUUGUUAUUGUAAAUCUUUUUGUUUUUCUGUUAGGAGAUUCAUUAUAGAAGGAGUCUCCAGUGUCAGUGAACUUCACAUCUUAUCAGACUUCCUCAUGUUACAACUUUAGGUUCUAAGUAGCAUCAAGUGACCACAGUUUAUGGCUUGAAGAGCUAAGAAAAGCAGAAAAGUCACUAAUACUUUCCAUACUUUAAAACAGAAUUUAAAAUUAGGGACUAAUUAGGGACUAAAUCGUGCUAAACGGCAUUCAACAAGUUCAACUGUGUCCCAUAUUCUAAAGUCAAGAUCAAUUAUAAUAUGUUGUUCAAUUGAUACCUAGAACUAAAGGUACAAUUACGUCUAAUAGAAUGUAAAUUUAGAUUAUUAUUUCAUGCUCAAUAGUUUGUAUAAUAAUGUUGUUGUUUUUUUAAGUGUGAAUAAAGUCUUACCAGA